GGACAGGCUGCCACAUCUGAUCAGACAGCCAGAGCAUGGUGUUCAUGGCAAUGGAUACUUUUGCCGUUGGACUCUAAUGCCACAGGAUAAGGAGUCAUGCUUUUAGAAUUCAUUUCAGCAAGUAAUAAAGCAACAAACAAUAAUACAAACCUGGGAAUUGAUGGUAUAAAACAGAUAAUUCAUGAAUGUCUCCAUAGAAAGAAAUUGUUCUGAUAAAUUAUGCAUAUGAUUGUGCAGUUGGAUAAUUUUGCCUUUCAUUUCUUGAAGCUCCAGUGUAGCAGACAUAUUCAGUUUGUAAACACAUUCAAAUAGACAGGAUACUUCCUAUGAGGUGAAAAAUAAAGGAGCACAGAAAGCAAAGAUGAUAUAUAUAUAUAUAUAUAUAUUUUUUUUUAAUUGGCUUCCUAAUAUAUUCUGUGGAAUUGACUGAAUUACAAUUAAACCAAAAGAACUAAGCACAAGGAACAGCCAUUGAUGCAAAGGAAUUAAAUUGUAGUAAAAUCAAUGUAGUUCAUGAUUAGGUCUUAUAUUAGAAAAUAACAUGGCCCAGGGUUAUCAUUUGCUUUUCAAAUUUAAGACCAGUUGCUUUGAUUUUUGAGUUGUUGCCCUAUAUUUCCACUACUUGUGCUUUUGCACUUUGUAAGAGACUCACGGCAAUCAGAGAAAAGAUAAACAAGAAUGCAGGUGAACAUUUAUUUUUUUAAUUAGUUUAAACAGAGGUUUUCCAAAUGUACAUAGUAACCUAACAAUUGGAGUGAGUUUCCCAAAUUUCUAAUUUUUGAAGGUAACACUAAAUUUGUUUCCCCCUCUUAUUUCUCUAUUAAACACACACACACACACACUCACACUCAUAGUAUAAUAAUUUUUAUAAGUAGUGUGACAACUUUAAGAAUCAUGAGCAUAACUUAUGCUAGCACAUGAAGCAAUUGGUUUACUUUUGAGUUUAGGAAACUGGAAUCAAGUCACAUAUUUUAACUAUUCCUUCUCAGUGUCCUUCCUUGUCUUCAUUGCUCCUUUGUUUUCUCAUUAUGAACAUCCUUUCUGAGUGAUCUCAUUCAUUGUGUUUCAAAUAUGUUAGGUUUUCUUAUUCAUUAAGUCAUUGUUAAGAAAUAUGAUUUAGUGCCUACUAUGUAUCAGACACUUUUCUAAGCACUGAGAGGUACUGCAUCUACCCUCAUGGAGCUGGCAUUCUAGAGGGAAGAGAGAGAAAAUAACCAAAAUACACAAGUGACAUAUAUAAUAACCUAUGGAGAAAAAUAAAGCCAGUAAGGAAGGAGAGCCCUUCUCAGGUGGGAGUGGGGAGAGGAGUCAUAAUUCUAAAUAGGGUAGAUGGGGAAUUUUCUUAUUGUGCCAGUUAUCUUGUUUUUGGACUGUAUUCAAUAAAGGAAGGGGAGAUAACGUUUUCCUUUUUACACAAUGCCUCAAAUGGGCUAGAAAUGGCUUUGGGGAGGCAACCAAAGUCAUCAUAUUGCCUUUAACUUUCACUGACUGGGAUUAGAAGUCCACUGAUUGCUGCCCAUGUGAAGCCUGUUAGGAAGUUAUAGUGAAAUUAAAGCCAGCUCUGAGCAAGGAGAUUGCAGUAGACGUAGUGCAGUAGAUGUCAGUGGUCAUAUUCUGAAUAUAUUUUGAAAGAGAACCAACAAAAUGUGACUGUUAGAGAAAGAGAAUGAUCAAGAUUGCCAUUCGAGGUUUUGGCCUGAGCAACCAGAAGGGUGGAGUUACUAUUGAGAUGGGAAAGAGUGCUAAAAGUUUGGUGGGGUCUGUGCAUGUUUGAGGGUGUAGAGGAGGUAGUAGGGAAGACAAGAGCAAUAUUUUGUUUGAGAUGUCUAUUUAAUAUCCAAAUGGUGAUGUUGAGUAGAGGGUCUUGAAUAUAAGAGGUUGGAGUUCAGGGCAGAGUUUAUGGGUAGAGACAUAAAUUUGAGAAUUGUAAGCAUGAUAUCUCAAGCCAUGAGAUCAGAAGAGAUCAUCGAGGAAGUGAGUGCAGAUAGAGAAGAGACGAGGUCCAAAGAUUGAGAUUUGAGUCACUCUACUCUUUGAAGACUGGACUAUGAAAAGGGAAACAGCAAAGAAGAUAGAGAAGGAGCCAUCACUGAGAAAAGAAGACCAGAAAAGAAUGGUGUCCUGAAAACUAAGAGAAGAAAGUACUUCAUGGUUAAGAGACUGGUCAGCAGUAUUGAAUAUUAUUGAUACGUCAAGUAAAAUGAUGGCUGAUAAUUACCUUUGGAUUUUUCAAUACAGGAUCAUUGGUGACUUGACAAAAAGUUGUUUUGGAGUGAUUGAAGCAAAUCUAAUUGGAGUGGUUCUAGAUAGAACAGAGCUUGCUUCCUAGAAUGAUAAGACAUGUGGAGCAGACCAGAAUCAGAUCCUCAAAUUGGAAUGGAGCCCAGGAGAGUCCUUCUCAUCCAGUCAAGCAAGGAUCAACCCACAGACCUGUGAGUGAAAAGUAAAUUAUUGUUGUAAACCACUGAGUUUUGGGGUUGUUUUUCAUGCCUCAUUAUGUGGCAAAAGCUGACUAAGACAUCAGAGAGCAUUAGAUGACUGUUAUAACUGGGGAGUAGGUAGAGUAUUAUGAAGACAUGGAAUUUAAAACUUUUUUUUCUUUUUCUUUCUUAGGGAAGAGGGAGGGAGAAUGGUCUGGAAACCACUAUGAGAAACAAGGACAUCUGUUCCACUUACAGGCCAAGGGGUCAGGGGUAUGAAGGCUGUGAGAGGGAAAAUAGACUCCACUUCAAGGUUUCAAGGGAAAAAGUGUUCAUAGAGAAGAUAUGAGUUUUCAUUAAAUCAAGAACCUGAAGGGAAAAUGUGGAAAAUAAGUUGAAGAUGUAGGGAAAUUUGCUAAUGAUUGUCCAUAAAUACCACAGUGCUGUGGGAAGAUUUCUACUUCAAUCUCUCUCUUAUUUCCCACUACCUAUUGUACAUCUCAGUAUGACAAAACCAGACAUUUCAAGCUCAAAAUAAUCAAAUUGAACUCCAGUCCCCCAAAGCAUAAUUCUCCUCCUGUAACACCUUUCAUUUCUCCUAAGCUAAAAACCAGAGUCAUACUCUCCUUUGCUUCUCACGUUCAAUGAAUGCCUAUAUAUACUUUCAAGGUGUUUCCCAAAUUGGUCCUCACUUCUCCAUAACAACUGCUGACCAAGUACAUACACUCUUCUAAUCACUUGAAUGAGAUAUUGAAACAAUUUUCUAAAAGGUUUUUAUGUCUCUAGUUUCAACACCUACAAUUAAUAAGCUAAUCUAGUUAAAAGAAUAUAGAUUCUGGAGUCAGAUGGUUCUCAGUGUGCAUACUCACUUGAGACUUACUAUGGAACAAGAAAAAAGAUAAUUAAAACUUUAUGAGCUUCAGCUUUCCUCACCUAUCAAAAUGGGACACAAUAAAAUUUCUAAUUUGCAAGGUUGCUGCUAGAGUUAAAUGAAACACCACCUAGCUAAUCCAUGGCACUAAAUGAUGUCUAAUUAAUGUUGUUUUUUUCAUCCUCUUAUUUUUCCAGAGUAAUCUUUCUCAAAUGCAAAUUUGAUUGUUAGUCUACUUUGAAAAAAAUCUCAAAUAGUUUUCUGCUGACUAAAGAAUGAAAAACAAAUUCUCUACCAUUGCAUAAAAAGCCUUCCAACCAUUAGCACAUCCUGUGAGCCUAAGAUAUAGUAACUCUAUUGAAAGUAAACCCACAUGGCUCAAUUUCUGAGUAGUAUGACAUCCUGGAAAUGGUCUAAGGCAGAAACUGUCAGCUGCUCACCAAAAAUCCAUUUUCUUUUUUGUUGUGGCAGAAACUUAGCAGCUGCAAUCAAUAUCUGUGUUAUCGUUCUCCUCACAUGCUGUUAAACUAUAUGUCCUAAUUCCCUGCUUUAAGAUGGGGCCACGUUUCUGAGUGCUGAGAAGCAGAAUGUAAGGAGAAUGAUGUGUACCUUUUCCAGGCCUGGGGCAUAAAGACUUGAAUAAUGUCCCAUACUCGUUUUCUCUUCCCUUAUCUGCAGGCCAGUUGUGGAUAAUACAAUGGAAGACUGAGGCUCUAAGGGAUGGAAGAAUAACCACAAGAUGACAGGAGUCUGGAUCCCUGAAUAACUACAUGGAGCAGUGCCCGUCUUCCCACCUACAUUGGACCAUGAUGACAACACGAAACAAGUCUUUUUUGUGUGAAAUCCAUUGAGAUGUUAUUGUUCUUUAUAAUAGCCAUUCGGUUGGCCAGACUGACAAAGAAAUUGAGGGGGAGGGGGUAGCUGCUGUAAUAAAAUUUAAAGUAUGUGUCUCUG